AUUGAACGCUGGCGGCAGGCCUAACACAUGCAAGUCGAACGAGUGGCGGACGGGUGAGUAAUGUCUGGGAAACUGCCCGAUGGAGGGGGAUAACUACUAGAAACGGUAGCUGAUACCGCAUACCAUCGGAUGUGCCCAGAUGGGUUUAGCUAGUAGGUGGGGUAACGGCUGACCUAGGCGACGAUCCCUAGCUGGUCUGAGAGGAUGACCAGCCACACUGGAACGGAGACACGGUCCAGACUCCUACGGGAGGCAGCAGUGGGGAAUAUUGGACAAUGGGCGCAAGCCUGAUGCAGCCAUGCCGCGUGUAUGAAGAAGGCCUUCGGUUGGUAAAGUACUUUCAGCGAGGAGGCGUUACUCGCAGAAUAAGCACCGGCUAACUCCGUGCCAGCAGCCGCGGUAAUAC
rnacentral:rRNA from 1 species